UACAGAGGGGGCAAGCGUUGUUCGGAAUUACUGGGCGUAAAGCGUGCGCAGGCGGUCCGCUAAGACCGAUGUGAAAUCCCCGGGCUUAACCUGGGAACUGCAUUGGUGACUGGCGGGCUGGAGUAUGGCAGAGGGGGGUAGAAUUCCACGUGUAGCAGUGAAAUGCGUAGAGAUGUGGAGGAACACCGAUGGCGAAGGCAGCCCCCUGGGUCAAGAUUGACGCUCAUGCACGAAAGCGUGGGGAGCAAACAGG
rnacentral:rRNA from 1 species